rnacentral:rRNA from 1 species
UACAGAGGGUGCAAGCGUUGUUCGGAAUUACUGGGCGUAAAGCGCGUGUAGGCGGCUUAUUAAGUCAGAUGUGAAAUCCCUUGGCUCAACCGAGGAACUGCAUCUGAAACUGGUAAGCUUGAGUGUCGGAGGGGAUGGUAGAAUUCCUGGUGUAGAGGUGAAAUUCGUAGAUAUCAAGAGGAACACCUGAGGUGAAGACGGGUUGCUGGGCCGACACUGACGCUGAUGCGCGAAAGCCAGGGGAGCAAACGGU